GUGCUUGCUUUGGCAACACAUAUACUAAAAUAGGAACAAUAUAGAAAAGAUUAGCAUGGCUUCUGUACAAGGAUGACACACAAAUUCAUGCAGCAUUCCAUAUUUUA
rnacentral:snRNA from 1 species